rnacentral:lncRNA from 1 species
GAUUUGGGGAUGGGGUUGGUGCAGCGUUGGCUGUUAUACUUGGCCACAUAUUCACAUUGCUUGAAGGGGGCAGUCUUGUCCUCCAGAACGUGUCUGAUACAGAAGGCGUAGCCGUUAAGUCGCCUCUGCUUGCACAGUUUGGGGCUAUACGAGCACAAGGGCUUAUUGUCAACCUCAGAGAAGUGUAUGUGUUUGCCUUCAUACAUCACGUGACUCUAUUCCUUGUGAACAUCAGCUGAUUUUAAAUCUUCUGUACCAUAUCAGUGUUAAGAGAGAGCCCCAAGGACACCACUAUCCUGGAAUGAUGAUGAAUCAAGGCGAUGUGGAUUGUCUUUCCAGCUGCUUUUUUUUUCUCCUCUCUCUCCUCUCCCCCCUUUCCCUCUGUUGGGCUGACAGAUCAGAGUUUCCUCCCCAGCAGAGGGACUGGGAAUGGGCUCGGGCUCUGUGCUGAGGAGCUGCUGCCCCCCUGGCUCUGAGGAGAUCCUGCUUUUUGUGGGGAGGAAGCUUUGGGGGCUCUUUAUUAUUUUAAAACUACAAAGUGCUCAGAGGGUAGGUGAUUAUUAAGGGGAAUCCCUGAAUAUAUUCUCCAGCAAAGAAGGCAGGGCUGCUGGGGCUGCUCAAGAAGAGAGCCAGCAGCCUCCUACAGCACCACUACAGGCACCGAGAGGACAUAACAUCACAGAGCGGCUCCUCUGCCCUCCAAAACAACAACUUUCCUACCAUCUUGGAGGUAGUAGAGGGAGAGAGGGAGGGGGAAAAAAGUACAGAAGGUUUUUAUAAAGUGUCGAUUUGGGGGAGGGAGCCGAACGGACAAAAGCAAUUUUUUUUAUUCAUGUAUAUGACUUAUAAUUUUGAAUAAAAAUAAAAUACAAAGGUUUGCGACUGAAGAAAUAAUUUUAUUUAUAUCAUGUUAAGAUCAGCUUUCAGGGGAAAAGAAAAAAAAAGAGGAGGUAUGGAAAAAAAUUUUUUUUUGAAUUUUUUUUCUUUUAAAAAUAAGAAUUUUUAUUUUUUUCCUAUACUUUAGAAAUGUGGCAACUUUUUUAUUACUUUGUGACAGUUCUAAAAAUUAAUGUGCAAUUGUGAAAGUCGGUGUAACUUUUUGUGGUGCUGCUACUGCCAGCAGAGCAACUGCGAUUGAUGCAGGAUAGUUUGGCAGAACUGUAUCGUUACAUCCUCUCUUUCAAGGCACUGUAAGUAAAACUGAAUGUACAGGUAAGAAAAGAAAUGCUUUAUAUAUGUGUGUAUAUAUAUAUAAUUUAUAUAUAUUAAUAUUGAUAUAUCUAUGUAUUAGAAAGGCUUAUAGAAAAGCCACGGGAGAUUUAAUGUGAGUGGAACCUGUGAUAGAUACCUGAAAAAUUCUGCUAAUCUGCCAUAAAUUCAGCAUUGUCUGCCCCUCAGGAGGGGAUGUGAAAAACAAAGCUCACAGAGGAAAUUUGAAGGUAACAAUUAAAUUUUUGUUAAUAUUUUCAAACUGUAUCGCAACUUAUAAAAAAUCUCUUUGGGUUCUUCCUAAGUUGCUGUUUUGAUGUGGGGGCUUUGUUUCUGAUAUUUCUGAAUACGACUAUUCCUGUCUUCUUGCUUGCAAAGUUGAGAAAUGCUGUUAACUUAUGCUACAGUACCCUGCAAUAUGGGAUGGUCAUUGUGCUUUUCCUUCUUCCAGAUGCUUUUAUUAGAGUGCUAAACAUAGACAAAGUGCUGUCAAAACGAUGUGAGAUUUUACUGUGUGUCCAUAGGUGAGGACACUCACUGAUCAUUGCCUCGAGCAGACCGACGAUCACGUUUGCAAUAUGCAGCCCAGUACAGGGAACCGCAGAGAUGCCUAUUUAUUCCUCCUGGAGAAAGAGGAAAUAAUUAGGGAACUAAUAAGCUCUACAUGGAAAAAAUGCAUUUAGAUUUUAUUCGUUGUAAAAAAAAAAAAUUGUUCAGGUGGUGUAGGCUAAUUGAGCUGCAAUCAGAAUGAAGUCACAUGAAUGAAGGUAUUGGGUUUUUUAGUGUUAUUGCACCCUCCCUCUGUCAAAUCUGAAAUAUAUUGAGUCUUACCUCUCUUACUAUAUUUUUUUAUUUAAAUACAUAUUUUCCCAAUACAGAUAUACUCCUUCAAUCCCUUCUGAAAAUACACUCUUGUCAGUUGCCUGGCGAGCAUAGUCUGUGUGUUCAUCGUGGCUUUUUCAUGUAGAUCCAUUAGUUUGAAUUAAAGUUUAAUUAAAAGUCGGUUGGUCUUUGCGUCAAGCUGCGUAUUUUUUGUUUGGCUGGAUUGUUUUAAGUGAUGGUUAGUCUAAUUAGCACGCCUUAAUAAUGCAGCGUUGCAUUCCGCGGAGUUACUGCAAAGGUGGGUUUUUUUUUUGUAGCAGGUUAUUAAUCCAUUAAGUGCAUUAUUCAGCUCUGACAUUAGGAAAAUAAUAAUAAUAAUCACAUGCAUUGCUCCCGUUUCCCAUUUGAAAAAAAUUGUAUAAAAGUAAUGGCAUGAUUAGGGUACUUUGUAAUCUCACCAGUCAUUAUUGUGUCAUUUGAAGCAUGAAAUAUAAUGAUUAUUUUGCAGGAUAUUUAAAUAAAAAAUACUUUUACAUUCUGUAUGUAAAACUCACUGCAGGAAUGACAGCGAUUACAAAUGUUGAUCAUAAUUGGGAUGAUUAAAAAAAAAAAAACCAACACUUUUUUGAAAUAUUAGGAAUAAACGCUCUCCUGUGGCAAUGCAUUCAGAAAUGAAGCAGUCGCAGAGCAAGCUCAUAUCUCCUUUUCAUCUACAUAAGGAAUGGACCAAAUUCUCAGACCAGUUGUUCAGAUGCUUGCAGGCCUGCUUAAUAAUUCAGGGGUGUUUGAGGAAUUGCUCCAUACUCACUUGCAUAAAGCUCCAAAGUCGCUAGAGUUUUGCUGUAGUGCAGUAUUCAAGUUUCUACGCCAGGUGAUUUCUUGUAUCUUUGUGUUGCACAGAAUGGCCACGUUGAACUGGAAGUCAAUAGGUUAGCGUAAUUCAAAUGUAAUUCAAGUUAGUGCUUUUCAUUGCGCUAUUGAAAAAUGGUUGCAGAGAGAGGGAGGCAUAAUGCUAACAGCUGAUCCGCACUGAGUCUGGCUGCCGUGCUCUUGAGAAUACCCAUAGAGCGAGCUGAGGGGUGUCUUAGUGCUUUUUGAAAUGGGAUGCAGAUGAUACAACACGUUAGAGAAAAGGCUGUGAAAGAAAGCACUUGAGAACCCGAGUACAGAAACAAUACUAAACCCUUUCUUUGGCUCACGUGCUUGACUUUGCAGAUACUGACUUUAAUCGGAUUACUUGCAUGCCUAAUGGCACCAAGGAACGUGGGUUAGUGGGCAAUGCUGGUGGACUACACGAUCUCAGAGGUCUUUUCCAGCCUAAAUGAUUCCAUGAUUAAACACGUAUCACAACAGCAUGAUACACUUUGGUGACAUGCUGAGAUCAGUUUGAAUUGUCUUCACUGCAAAACCAGAAGCUAAAGAGAAACGUUUUGAAUCUAGCCUGGAAUAGGAAAAGUGCAAAGGGAUAUUUAGGAGUGGCUUUUUUUGUUGUUUUUAAAAUACAGAUAAGCAAUACUUUGUAAGAAAAUAAAGAGGAAAAAUGAGUCCCAUCUUAGAAGUGUGGACUGCUGGCUGUUGUGUAAUCAUCCAACAGAGAACUGAAUCUCCACACUGCGGCCAGGGGAACUUAUUUAAUGAAACUUCGUGUGCCUGAAAGGAUUCAAAAGAUUUUCUUUUUAGUUAUUUACUAAAAAUUGUUUUGCUUGCACCAAAGCGUUAUGCUGUAACACUUCUAAAGAGCAAAUUCUGCUUGCUUUAGUUGUGCAGAAUUGUUUCUAUUAUACAUACAUUACAUAGUUAUGGACGAGACUCAGCGCUUGGAAGUCACAUCAUUGUGCUAAGAGUGCAGCUCUGCUCUGAAAUGAUUUUUGAGGAAAAAUUCAAAGGCCACAACUCCUGCACAAGGAAGGUGAGUGAGCCCGUAGCAAGAAACCACCCAGAAUUCAGUCUGCAUUCACCCAGAAUGCAGACAGGAAUUCUGUCCCUUCCAUUUCCUUGUUACAGAAUAGGUCUGUGUGGCCCAAACCCUGGACCAACCACUCAAGCCAGUAAGCGUGUUGUAUGCUUGAGCACAGCGUGGUCAAAGAAAAUUAAUGUUCCCUAAAUCACUACUUCCAGGUUAAUGAGGCAUGCUUUGCUGAUGCGUCUCGCUGGUAUUAAUAGUGAGACAGAGGGCAGCAACACAGUGAAUAAACUUUGUGAGUCUAAUAAAAGAGCUGAAAUAGAUGCUUUCGGUCAUACACCAGUUACUGGAGGAGACUGCUUCAAAAAGCAAACUGUGACUCUCCCAGGGUCACAUGGACUCCAAGCACCUCUGGAUCAUAACUGAAGACACUGUGUGCAUGAUGAAGAGCCUUGGCUUUUCAGCAAACAGUGUUACGGCAGUGCUAUGGUAUUAUUCCCUGACAUGCAUGUGUUCUGAAGAAACACUUCCACUGUCUUUAAAUGCUUGUGAAAGUGAUCAGUAAGUUAUGGAAGAAUAGCUGUGAAGGGGAGGGAUAACUCUAUGCACAUAGAUGUUUGUAAGAGAUUUUAUAAAUAGAGCCCAAUUGAUGUUUGAAAUCUUUUGACAUUUAAACACAGGAGGGGGUGACCAAAAAAAUACAUAAAGUUCUGAUAAGAUUUGUUCUUCUCAGUAAGAUCUCAAGCAGCAUCUUUAUGCAGUGUUGGUGUAUGUAAGUGUGAUGAGUUCUAGGAUUGAGCUAACCAUUUAAAACCAGCAUAUAUUGGAACAGUGCUCAUCUUUUUUUUUUUUUUUAAACAUGCUUUGCUGUGGGCAUUUUGUUUCUUGCAUCAGUUGCCUAUGGGAUGUCUCAAUUCCUGUUAUCCUGUACUAGUACAUAUUAGGUAAGCAGCAAAACACCACCAAGAAUAAAUGACUGUCUUUGUUUUUUUGAGUUUUAAGGUCCAUAAGAAAGCUUACUGGAGCAACUGGAAUUUUGCUGUGGAUUUCUGUAGGAAUAAGGCUGCUGAAGUAUUGAACCAAUUGGGAGCGGGCAUAUGCUAGCUUACUGCAUGGUAAUAUAAUUAAUUGACAGUGAACUGAACUGAAAAUAGUAAUUAACUAAGACUUUACUAACCUGUUCUUCAUUAUCAGCGUGUAAUUUUAUCUGCAUUAGAUGUUAUUGUCUCUUAAAUCUCAGCAAAUACAGAAUAGUAAGGUGAUCAGUCACGGGGAAGUUUUCCAGAGUACAUGACAGGCAUCUGUGGAGGCUUCUUUAAAUAGAAGACAAAUGAAAUAAACUGCCCCAGCAGAGUGCUCUAAUACAGCCCUGUUUUACUAGGGAGGCCACUGUUAAUUGAAAGCAGGCUAUUGCACUUUUCCUUAUCUAUCCACUUGCGCCUAUUGAUAUUUCAUUAACUGUAAUCACAGCUGUUAAAAAGCUACACACUUUAUUACCAGCCUUUCUUUCAAUUACUCAUCUACAGGGGGUCUCGGUCAUCACUGCAAGUUAGAAAGAUAAUUCCAACUCUAGGCCAAAUCAGUGAUCUCUCCGAUUUCUGACAGUGUCCUGUACCAAGAUGCUUCAAAAAGAGAUAGGGGACAUCCCAUGAUGGGGAGCACAGAAAUAAAAAGCACAGCAUCUGGGCAUUGAUCCCAAACUUUCACUUUCUGGGGGAAAUGCUGCAGAUGCUUCCUCCUCUGCCUUGAGCUAUACUUCAAAAUACAUGUUAAAAUGAGGCACUUAGAACUAUUUUUACAAGUGGCCUAGUUUUGUUGGCUCUUUCAAAGUCUUGCUGAAAGCGCAUCUCAGUUUGACUCAACUUUCCAUUGGGGACCAUGUUGUCUUUUUUAAUCAAAGAAUCUCACUAAAUUGCCCAGGAUUUAAAGAGUGUCCCUCUGGAAUGUGGGCUGCCAAUGCUUUUGGGUAAGUGGAUAUUGAGUGGAGAUUUUUUUUUUUUUAAUCACAAUUAAAAAAAACUUAAGUCUGCACUAUUUUGACAGGAGGUGGGAAAGGGGGACAGUUUGAUCCUCUUUAAUUGGACUGCUGGUGCUAACUUUGCCUAAACUUGCUCCAAAAUAUAAGUGCUCAGUAGGGCUUUACCUUGAAUCAACACAACCUCUUCUUUUUUCUGCUUCUCCACCACCUUCUGCCAAAGACAAGGCUACAUAAAAGCAAGGUUUAAUUUAAGGCAUAUUUAAGAGCUUACGUACCUAGUACUGCUUUAAGAGAAAAGAGUGCUUAGUGACUGAACCUAUCUGUCUCUGCUCAACACAUUCUUUCUCAUGAUAUCCACACAGGCAGGAGAGCACAGGAAAAAGGAAAUUGCAGGACCAGUAACCUUCAUCAAGUGAGAAAGUGUGCCAGCUGUCCAUUGGAUAUGAUCAGGGCUGCCUUUGGGGAACUGAUCUCCCUCUGUUCUUACCUCCUUCUUUGUUUGGCCUACAUCACCUCCAUUUCUGUGUUGGACCCCUACUUAUCUUUUUAUCCAUACCUGAACAGAAGUCCGCACACCUACAGUCUGCCUAGCCAGCACAGCAAACAAAAGCAGUAUGGACUACAGUAUGAACUCAGUUGAUAAGCAUGCCCAUUUAGAUUUCUUUAUUACCUAGUUUCUAAUAGUCAAAAUCCACAGAGCCUUACUGCUAUUAUGAAGUUUGUCUAAAAAGUUCCCUACUUAGUGACUAGUUAAGGGGCAGGGGGAGAGGGCAGAAACAGGACACUUCUAAUUACCCUUCUAAUUACCCUUCUUAAAAUAAGGGCUGGGUACUUCUAUUCAAGAAGUAUUUCCUAUAUACACACACACACUAAUUGAAGGAUGCAGCACUUUCAAAAGUAAUAAUGAUGUGCCUGUGCUCCCAGAGUUAAACGCUGUUAUUUAAUAAAACAAAAAGCUGUACAUUUUUUUGAGCCUUUAUAAAUUGUGAAAUGAAGAAAUGACUUAUGUACAAUAUGGAUUUUCAGGGGGAAAAAAAGGGAAUUAAUCCAAGGAACAUAGAAACCCAUUAUUUUACUGAAUACAGGAUUCAGUGAAACCUUUUCCUUUUGAACCUACCACUUGUGGAAAGAAGUAGCUGUCUUGCUUUUGGCAUACGUUGUUAUACACAUUCUUCUUUUGCUGUUCCUGCCACAACCUCCUUUUUCCCCCUAAAGAAGUCACACUCCACAAGGACAGAGGGAGGUUUUAUGCUGUGCUUGGUCACACACAUGGACAUACCUGUUAACUGCCACAUUAAUAGACUACAGUACUUCCAGCUGUUUCCUUAGUGUGCACAGUAUCUUUGCAUGGAGUGAAUAGUUACUUUGUACCACCAAGAGAACUGACCCUGGGAAAUGGCAGGCUGGGCUGAGCAACAUCCAGUGAUUAAGAGUUGGUUGGUUAGGGUAAGGCAGACUGGCUAAGCUGAGGAAACCAGGAAGAGACUUCCUCCUUGGCAGGAAGAAAAGAACUAAAAGAACUUUUAAAAUGCUCCUUGAUUGUUAUUGAAAAAUGUCAAAGAUGGAAGAGUUUUUAGAGAGUUAAGAAUUCUAGACCAGCACUCACAUGAACUCAGUUUUAUUCUACACUGGAAAACGUAGGUUUUCCUUGUGAAAAACUGAAAGAGGUUGGAAGUGAUGACCUUGUAACAGUGCUUCAGUCUGCAUGGUUCCUGGAAGGAUUCCUCUACACCCUCCUACUACUCUAGUACCUCAUUGCUGGGGUAGCUAGCCUUCUUCUAAACAUGCUAUCCAACAUUCUGUAACACCAAGCAGAUACUCACUGUUCUGAAGUCAUUGCAAAGCUUUAAAAUGAAACCCCAUGGUCUCCUCUUUCACUUUGCUAUAAAAAGAUCAGUGCACAGAGGAACUAUAGUGAGAUUUUUUUCUUGCUCUGGUGCAGCUGAAGGCCUUUUAUGUUUUGCUAAGUUUUAAAAAGUUUAACAUUUCAAAGCGAUGUGAAAAUUGCUUUCUCUUUUUCACAGCAUAAAAGGAUUUCUUCCCUUGAGUACUUUUCUCAACUGCCAACAAAACAGAGAAACAUCCAAAUAUCUAGAGCAGUGGUAGGUGAGCACUGACACAAACCAGGUACAUUUGACUGAAAAGGGGGAACUUACUCUGGAAGUGCAAGACAAAAAUCGAGCGUUCACAUCCUCCUCAGUGUUUAAAAUAUCUAGAUGCUCUGUGAGGUUACAAUCCAGUGUUUAGGCUACAAAGAACUGUCCUUGGCAAAUCAAAACUUCUCCUGAGGCUGAGUUGCUUACUGAGUUUUCAUACAAGAAGCAUGAGCUUUAUAAAUUACAUGGGUAAUGGCUUGUUUAAUAUUAUAAUUUAUUUGUAUACAAUCAUCAUGUAUGCAGCCUCUAGGUACAGCAAGUUGAAUGCUGCAUAUUCUCUCCAGCCACAGGAGUCCUAUAUUAUGGGACCAUGUGAACUGAUGAAAAUGUGGAUGUAAAAAGAAAUGCCACUGCCUAGCAAUUAGAUUCUGGAGAAAAAAAACAAAUAAAGAAGGUAUUGGUCACAGCUAUUAACUGCAACAAAUACUUGGAUGGAGGUGGGAGCAGUUUGCUCAGUAACUAGCAGCUGGCCGGCUCUUCCACUGCAUGAGCACCUUCAACAACAGCUUUCACACACUUGGCCAUUGUCUGGGAUGCUCUACUGAUGGAAUCUGCAGAAAUAGGAAGACAAAACCACACUUGUAUGUAAACUACUAGUUUUCAACAUACACAGAUUUACACAGUUGAUAUAAAAAUUUAGUACAGGACUGCAUACAAAGAGAAAAAAUGCCCUAUACUCUAUGCAAAUGCCAAAUCUUAUGAGAAUUGUUUGAAGAAAGUAAAAUUCAACAUAGAUUAGUGGAAAGCUUUAAGUGCCUCAUAAAAAAAAUCAUACUGUAAAGCAAAGUAAAAUGUAUUGCAGGUUUCAGAGUGGAAAAGCCAUCCUCUACGUACCUGUCAUAUAGAAGUCUUUUAUUGUGAGCUGAGGUGGAACAAGAGGAUCAGCAAGAAGCUGCUGCUUUACUAACUGUGGCAAGAAAGGAAGAAAAAUGAAGUUAAGCAGCUUUAUGAUAGGAACUUGGUACUAAUGUAUUCCUGUUGUGAAAUCUGCAUUCACUGUUCAGUGUAGAUCAAAUUAUGCUCGCAGUACUAUAUAUGAAGGCAGCUGUUUUCUUAAAAAGCAUUCACGUAUGUAACAGCAUUAAACCAUGCUUAAGUGCUUCGGUUACCUUUGAUAAUUCGUUUGCCUGCUUGAAGUAGUUCGCCUCCUCCACAUCAUCAUAUCGGACAAGAUUAGGAGAUACCUCUUCUAAACGCUUCCGUAUUUCAUCAAGGUUCUCAUAAGGCAGGGUCAAAUCAGCCACCUAAGAGAUUCACAGAAAGAAAUGCCAUCACAUCUACGUGUUCAACACAUAGUAUUUUAAUUACCAAUCCAUUAGCAUGCUCAAAGUAAAACAAUAAAAAAAUAAAAUCAGGAAAACUAUGCUCCUGAAAACCUUGGCAAUUCUAACAUACAGACUGAAGCCUUCACAGCUAUCACAGUAUUCUGUUGAGCUUUUGAUGCCUACAGAUAGAACUACCUCAUGGUAAAAGAAAAAAGAAUAAUUAAAAAUCAGGAAAAAUAAAGAGAAGACAAAGUAUUUUCAUAUAUGUAUAGCCUUGCUUGCACUUUCCCUUGCUUCCUACCAAGCACGAUGAAAGUUGAUGCCAUUAUCAGUGUAUCACUUCUAGUGACUCGCACACAUGUAUUUCUAUCUUUCUUGGUACCAGAUCCUGUCCCAAGCAUUAUUGUUUUCUUUCUGAAAGCAACAAACUGUAUCCUCCCACCAGCUUGCUCUAAAGCACCUCAGAAAGACCAGCAGGAUUUCCACACAAAGCUUCAUCCAGUAUGCAUUCCAACAACAUACAGCAGCUACAGAACUAGUCCUAGACCUAAAAGGUAAACAGUAUUAUUUACCUCACACAAUAGUGAAAGGAUUCAAUACAAAACGCUGUUACAUAAGACUACAAGCAUACAUUUCCCUAAAAACAUACCACUUUGGAAACACUUUUCAAAAGAAAGGGAACUUAACUACUCACUAUACUUUUACUAGAAGCAAUUUUUAGUGGAAACAGUACCUCAGAGAUAGCUCUAAUGAUUUUCCAGUCUUCCCUUGCCAUCCCAGGAGGUGUCACUGCUACUCUUGUCUGCUGGGCCCUACCCUCAGUAUUCACAUAUGUUGCUGCCUUCUCUGUAUAUGCUGCUCCUGGGAGAAUAACAUCAGCCAUGGGAGCUCCCACAUCCCCAUGAUGUCCUGAAUAGGUAGACAAAAAAAACGUAAACAAGCAUUCCACUUUAUGUCUUAUGUUAAGUAAUACAGAAUUUCUGUGUUUCCAGAAGGAAAAAGUUUGAGGUUCACUUAAUCAGUGACACAAAGCAUAUUUUGAUGACUGUUCUGAGGUCUUAUGUGCCCAUCACUUUAGUGAAAAGAGCCUGCAAGCAGUAGAAAAUAGUGAUUCAGCCUCUAUAGCCGUAUAACUUAGUAGGACUCCCAGAAGAAGGAGCCUAGUGAAUUAAGAUAAGACCAUGUUUUGGUAUGACAGAACAGCUGGGAACCCACUUCUUUCUGCCAGGCCUGAAGCUAAGCUGCACACUGUCAAACUGGUUUAUAUUCCCCUAUUAGUUAUCAAUGAUUUCUUACUUAAGAAAUAAAUAACCAGUCUGUCAGUCGCAUGUUGGAAGUUUCAUCUGUUGUCAGAAAAUAAAGGCUAUAAUUUAUCAAAGGGUCAGAUAUGUUUCUAAGAGCAUGACACCGCGUAGGCUCUCUCUCCAGCUUUUAGCUGACAACACUCCUAAAUUUACAUCUACUAAUUACCUUGAUAGAUGAUAAAGCAAUCCUUUGGCAAAUCCUGACGCGUUAUACAACCAGAAUCUGCUCCCAAGAGAUACAACACUUUGGGAGGAUUUUUCCUAAUUGCCUCCACUCCUGGUUUGAAACCCAGAUCCAAAGCAGCUACCUGGCUUGCAACCCUGCAGGAACAAACAUGACUGCAAGUUAUUUCAGAACUUUCUUAUCAGAACAGGCUUAACUUUCUGACCCAGUAUUUUGGACUGCUUUGUCUCUAGCAGUAACAGGACAAAACUGAAGCAUAAAGACAGCUGAGAAUUUUGACAAAGUAGUUGACAAUAUUAGGUUGUUUUUGCCUUUUGACAGAAUGAUGCCAAUUCAACUGUUCCUGAUGAACCCCACUUACUUCAGAUGGGAUAGCAGAAUAAAAGCAGACAGUACAGUUCAGGGCCUAGUGGUGGAGAGCUAACUCAUCACAUGGAACACCACAGUUCACAUUUCAGCCAUGACCUUUGCUUAGCAGGACUUUUAAUUUAGAGCACUCACACGACAGAUGAAAGACUACCAUCAACCACACUGAAUCUCCACUUCAUCUCUACUCACUUAUGCACACACGCAGAACAUUCUUAAAGUGAAAACACCACUCAUUUUGCAGCAUGUACUUUUCCAUAAUCCUACAUAGUCAGGUGCCAUGCUCAUGGAUAUUUAAAAGAUUCUCUCUGUAGGGCACAC